CCUACGGGUGGCAGCAGUGAGGAAUAUUGGUCAAUGGACGCGAGUCUGACCCAGCCAAGUAGCGUGAAGGAUGACUGCCCUAUGGGUUGUAAACUUCUUUUAUAUGGGAAUAAAAUGUUCCAUGUGUGGGAUUUUGUAUGUACCAUAUGAAUAAGGAUCGGCUAACUCCGUGCCAGCAGCCGCGGUAAUACGGUGGAUCCGAGCGUUAUCCGGAUUGAUUGGGUUUAAAGGGAGCGUAGGUGGAUUGUUAAGUCAGUUGUGAAAGUUUGCGGCUCAACCGUAGAAUUGCAGUUGAGACUGGCAGUCUUGAGUACAGUAGAGGUGAGCGGAAUUCGUGGUGUAGCGGUGAAAUGCUUAGAUAUCACGAAGAACUCCGAUGGCGAAGGCAGCUCACUGGACUGCAACUGACACUGAGGCUCGAAAGUGUGGGUAGCAAACAGGAUUAGAUACCCUGGUAGUC
rnacentral:rRNA from 1 species